GCGCAGCAGUCGAGAAUAGUCUACAAUGGACGAAAGUCUGAUAGUGCGACGCCGUGUGUGCGAUUAAUUCCUUCGGGAUGUAAAGCACUUUUCUAUGAGAUAAAAGCUCUUUAGGUUAAUAGCUUAUUGAGACGGAUAUUAUUAUAGGAAUAAGCUCCGGCUAACUCCGUGCCAGCAGCCGCGGUAAUACGGAAGGAGCGAGCGUUGUCCGGAUUUACUAGGCGUAAAGGGCUAGUAGGCGACUAAUUAAGUUAUAUGUUAAAUCCCACGGCUCAACUGUGGUCCUGCAUGUAAUACUGGUUAGAUAGAGUACUGUAGAGGAAGGCAGAAUUCCUGGAGUAGCGGUGGAAUGCGCAGAUAUCAGGAAGAAUACCAAAAGCGAAGGCAGCCUUCUGGGCAGUUACUGACGCUGAAUAGCGAAGGUGUGGGUAGCGAACAGGAUUAGAUACCCGUGUAGU
rnacentral:rRNA from 1 species